GCUGAAACAGGGACGUCUCUUCUGGUGCAAGACAGAGGUGCUUCGGAUCUUUCAGGGGGUUUCUAUUGAAUCAGCGGUCGAAGGUGCUUUUCAACGAGAACACCGAAAUGAUUCUGUUUGGAUAAGGGUACGGCAUCCUCUGGUGCGCAGGAGAGAUGCAGCGUCCGAGUUAACCGCGGGGAGAGAACGGGAAGCAGUAACGCAAGGAAAAUUUCGCAUCUGAAGUUUGAAGCUGAGCUGUUUCCUCGAGGAACGUCAUCCUCAACGGAUAAAGCCUCCGUCUUCCUUAUGAAGCUAUCCUCGUCAAAGGAGUGGAAAGCGAGCCAGACGCUCUGACGAACUGCUACUUUUUGAGAAUUCUCUUUCGCGACCUUUGACGCCAGGCACACGCUCGUUUGUUUCCCUUGUGACAGACGCCUAGAGGACGCUCACGCGAGAAAGCGAGAGCAUGGGCGAGCAACGCUCCCAAAAACGUGCUGCCUUCCCUGAAUGAGAACUUUCUUACGCUUGUGUCAUCGCUUGUUUCAAGAGGCACCGAAACAACUGCAGGAAAAGUAUCAGCUCGAGUCUCAGGUUAAGCGUUGAUGAAUUCGGUGCUUUGUAACCCGGACGAAAUGAAGAAGAAACCGAAGGGCACGAACAGUGAGCGUCAAUGAAGGCGUAUCUCUUUGGAAUGACGCAGAUGCACGUGGAGCUUCCCAUCACGAUGGCGACGGCAGAAACGAAUCACGUCCUGAUGAAUAUCGGGUUUCGUGUCGUUCAUUAAGUCAAGCUGAUGCAUGGUAACUAAAUCGAGGGCGUUUCGAGAGAGAGAGAGAGAGCUUGUCUGUGCGGCACCCGCCGGAUCGUUCGAAAGUUCGACGUCCUAUUUCACCGGAAGUGAUCGCCAAUGAAAACCGAAGAUGAAAUUGGCUGUCGAGCUCGCGGCAGACUUGAGGAGACGAAUUCCCUCGAAGGAUUCUCUCUGACUGAAGCAUUCGUCUCCGACACGUUUCGCAUUUUCUCUGUACUACGAAAUCGUUGGAAGAGGGUGUCAACACUGCGAAUACCUGGCGAGAACGGGAUUCAUAAGGCAGAAGAGGUACACGCCGUCCAAGACGUUCGCUCUCCCGCCCGAGGAUGCUUGGCUUCACAAUUGGUUACGUUUCUUUCAGUUUCUCGGGUGUCAUGGGAACUCCACCUCACCAUGAAAUCAUGAGUAGGAAAAGAACGAAAUGAAAUGGAGUAAGUCAACGAACAGGAAGGUUUACCAGAAAAACUCCAAUAUCAAAGCUGCUGAAGCCAUAGACAGUCAAUUCUGUUUCCGUUUUCUCUCGCACGGGUACGAUGUCAGGGUUCAACCUCGAGCAUCGCCGAAUAUCUCUAGGCGAGAACGGAGACAACGAAAGUCUUCCGCAUUCUGGAAGAUAACCAAAGAUUCGUACGCGUGGACCCGGGUUUUUCAGACGUCGAAUUUACCUUUUCAGACUCUAGUCCGGAGUCAGAGACGCGUCAUUCCAGCAGCAGAAGAGAGGACCACCAGGCGAGGUUCGUUUACAGCGCGAAGAAAACACAAAAAGAGAGGCAACAGACAGAGGAUGGUACUGCUCGUCUCACCAUUUGCGAAAAGACGAUUUCAGGCGACAAUACUCAUAUGCGAGCGAAUUUGAGCGUUCUCCCUGAAUAACUGAAACACAGAGCUCGUUCUGGAGACCAGCAGCUGAGGUGCUCUGCGUCACUCGUUUGACCAGAAUGCAAUCUAGGCGAUCUGCAUUCUCCUCUGAUGCCGAGUGGCGAAAAGACGGUCAUCUGGUUCGUAAACUGGGGUGCAGUAGCCAUGCGUCCGAUAUCCCGUCGUAAAUGCAGCGCAUAGAAAGCGACCACACAGAAGUUUACAGAAAUACUGCAUGUGCGUGUGGUGGACAUCUGCGAAUGCCGGACGUCGAAAGCGUGUACUCGUUGCGCAAGUCGACAUACGAACUUGAAAGUGAUAACGACGAGGGCCAUCACCAAUGAAGAAACGAACGAAACUGAAAGAAGGUCAUAUACUUCUCCGAUCGACAGCGUGCUGCACUGAGAGCGUGGAGGAUGCCGGGAAGACGCUCCCAGAUGAGGCACCACAUGGAACAAUCACGACAACGAGUGCCGCAACAUUCCGGAGCUGUCGAAGACCAGAGUCAGAAGAAGUCAACGACUUGCACCGUUUCAUCGCGCGACAGAAAAUGCAAAUCAUAGCGCAGAGACAACAAACCUUCAGUUUCAUCCCGGAACACAAACGCCCUAAUGCGAAAUAAAGAUUACAGUAUCCGGGGUCUCGUAUAUGACGAGAAUUCUAUGCUGAUACGAGCAUUGAGAAGAAAGUGGAAUGACAUGAAUGUCUCAAAAUUUGUGAGCAUGCCUGCAGGCUCAAGUCCGCGGCUCGUACCAGAGGGACUCAUUCGUGCACCAAAGAGCGGAUCCGUGGGAUGUGGUUAGCCUCGGCUCUAUACCGUGUCGAAACACUAGAUAUUCACUGGGGACCACAGUGAACCUGCUGCUGGAACGCAACUGCCGUCAUUCUGACAGGUUUAUGCUUACGCUGUCCAAGCUGGCAGCAGGAACGAAGCGAUCUCCGUGCGUGACUGCAUCCUCUACAUGUACAUGUAGUUGAUAAGGGCGCUCGUUCACAUCGCGUGCAGCCCUGGCACCUGACAUCGCUUUAUACGAACGACAUCACUCACUAGUGGAUACGAAACUCUCCUUCUACAUAUCAGGACGGGGGUCCGGCAAACCAGAUGAGCGCGCGGGUUCGUCGAUUCGUGCACUCAUUACCGGUGUUUGCCGAGCACAGGCCCGCUACACGAACCGACGACGUAUUCGACACAAUACUGCGAGUCGGUGACUCGGUAUUCAGAAUUCUUUGUAUGAGCUAGGUUGCGCUAACGCGAAAGGCCGCGAAAGCAGGCCUGUUGCACAGUCUCUCCAAGCACGAACAUACAACGAGAUACGACCUGGCGUCGGGUACACGACAUCUCGAGCCGACGCCCUUCAGUGGUAUGGUAAAG
rnacentral:misc_RNA from 1 species